rnacentral:rRNA from 1 species
CCUACGGGAGGCAGCAGUAAGGAAUAUUGGUCAAUGGAGGCAACUCUGAACCAGCCAUGCCGCGUGCAGGAAGAAGGCCCUAUGGGUCGUAAACUGCUUUUGUACCAGAGAAAACCCGAGUACGUGUACUCGGUUGAUAGUAUGGUAAGAAUAAGCAUCGGCUAACUUCGUGCCAGCAGCCGCGGUAAGACGAAGGAUGCAAGCGUUAUCCGGAUUCAUUGGGUUUAAAGGGUGCGUAGGCGGACUGAUAAGUCAGUGGUGAAAUCUCUCGGCUUAACCGAGAAACUGCCAUUGAUACUGUUAGUCUAGAGUAUAGAUGACGUUGGCGGAAUAUGACAUGUAGUGGUGAAAUACUUAGAUAUGUCAUAGAACACCGAUUGCGAAGGCAGCUAACGAAACUAUAACUGACGCUGAGGCACGAAAGUGCGGGGAUCAAACAGGAUUAGAUACCCUGGUAGUCCGCACCGUAAACGAUGAUUACUCGUUGUUGGCAAUAUGACCGUCAGCGACCAAGCGAAAACGAUAAGUAAUCCACCUGGGGAGUACGCCGGCAACGGUGAAACUUAAAGAGUAAGUUGACGUGNGAGAGACGACGACGACGACGACGGAGGGAGGAGG